CUUAAAUAUAUAGACCUAUUAAUGAUGAACUAAAAGUUUCCAUGCUAAUCAUGAAUAAAAUUCAAAAUUUUAAAGGAUUAGAAACACGCUUUUUGUUAUCUCUAACAGUCCUGAAUACGUUUAUAUAUAGCA